ensembl:piRNA 21ur-5050 ncRNA
UAAUCUUUUUCUGAUAUUUGC